GACGAACGCUGGCGGCGUGCUUAACACAUGCAAGUCGAACGAAGUGGCGAACGGGUGAGUAAUACGUGGGUAACCUGCCCUCCUCUGUGGGAUAAGCCAUGGAAACGGGGCCUAAUACCGAACAUAGGGGGAUGGGCUCGCGGCCUAUCAGCUGGUUGGUGGGGUGAGGGCCUAUCAAGGCGGUGCCGGGUGGCCGGCCGGAGAGGGUGAACGGGAACGUGGGGACUGAGAGACUGCCCAGGGUCCUACGAGUGGCGGCAGUGGGGGAUAUUGCGCAAUGGGCGAAAGCCAGAUGCGGCUGCGCCGCGUGGGGGUUGAGGGCGUUCGGGUUUUAAACCUCUUUCGCUAUCGAUCGGGUAGGUGAAUAGGAAGCGCCGGCUAACUACGUGCCAGCAGCCGCGGUAAUAC
rnacentral:rRNA from 1 species